rnacentral:rRNA from 1 species
CGGAGGGUGCAAGCGUUAUCCGGAUUCACUGGGUUUAAAGGGUGCGUAGGUGGGUUGGUAAGUCAGUGGUGAAAUCUCCAGGCUUAACUUGGGAACUGCCAUUGAUACUAUCAAUCUUGAAUACCGUGGAGAUGAGCGGAAUAUGUCAUGUAGCGGUGAAAUGCUUAGAUAUGACAUAGAACACCAAUUGCGAAGGCAGCUCGUUACACGAAUAUUGACACUGAUGCACGAAAGCGUGGGGAUCAAACAGGAUUAGAUACCCUGGUAGUCCACGCCCUAAACGAUGGAUACUCGACAUUUGCGAUAAACUGCAAGUGUCUGAGCGAAAGCAUUAAGUAUCCCACCUGGGAAGUACGACCGCAAGGUUG